rnacentral:rRNA from 1 species
GACGAACGCUGGCGGCGUGCUUAACACAUGCAAGUCGAACGGAAAGGCCCUGCUUUUGUGGGGUGCUCGAGUGGCGAACGGGGGAGUAACACGUGAGUUACCUGCCCCUGACUUUGGGGUAACUUCAGGAAACUGGGGCUAAUACCGGAUAGGAGCUCCUGCCGCCUGGUGGGGGUUGGAAAGUUUCGGCGGUUGGGGAUGGACUCGCGGCUUAUCAGCUUGUUGGUGGGGUAGUGGCUUACCAAGGCUUUGACGGGUAGCCGGCCUGAGAGGGUGACCGGCCACAUUGGGACUGAGAUACGGCCCAGACUCCUACGGGAGGCAGCAGUGGGGAAUAUUGCACAAUGGGCGGAAGCCUGAUGCAGCAACGCCGCGUGCGGGAUGACGGCCUUCGGGUUGUAAACCGCUUUCGCCUGUGACGAAGCGUGAGUGACGGUAAUGGGUAAAGAAGCACCGGCUAACUACGUG